CCUGCCCCAAAAGCCUGCAGAGCAAGCCAGAACCUUUGCACCUCGCGUCCGGACGGAGCCUCACUGCAGCCAGCAGCCAGCCCAACACCGGCCGGGUGGCAGGGGCCGCAGCUAUGCUGGCUGCCUCUCCCACCAGCUCCCCAGGCAACUGCAAACACCGCCUGAUCCUCAGCGUGGGAAGAUCUGAGACGCGAGAUUAGCGGGGAAGGAACUACAACCAGACAACAGCGUCUGCCCCGGCUACUGCCGUGCUAAAACACGCGCUCUGCUCUCCACAGCGUGUGGAUCUGGAGGUAACAUCUCCUGGAGGACAAUGGGUGACGGUGACAUGUCAAGUAAAAGGUCUCGCUGGCCGACAGAAGAAAGCUAAAUGUCCUUCCAGCUGUCAAACUCUGUCUGAGUACUGAGCGCUAGCCUGGGGCUGCCCUUUGUCCCACUGCACUUGGUCCUUUACAACUUAAGUGCACUGGGAGCUCACACCUGUGGCCCACCAGGCCUGGCCUGGGCAUUUCUCAGCACUGGAGGGACUGAGAACACUGAGUGAGCUGAGCUGAGGGACUCUUCUGAAUUUGUCAUCUCUUCAAAGCAGAGAGAGGUUUUGCUGUUUAGUAUUGUUCAUUUUUGUGCUGGGGAGUACUUUGUUUGUUAAAUAAAUAGUUUUUUUUCCACUUCUCUCUGGGGAAAUAUUUUCUCCGAACCAGCUGGGGGAGGGACUGCUUAAAUCUGUUUCCUAGAGGGACCCCAUUCAGAGGUUUCCUCCCAAAUUUACCCUAAACCAAGAUACUGAGAAUUGGUGGUGACAGAUUUUUUGAUAAAGAGUGUUGACACAGCUACUGCAGGAGCUCUGACUGAUACUCAGCAAUUACUUCUGCCCAUCCAAUCUCCAAAUCAAUCCAAUUUACUCCCCUCAGCUCUGCAAUCAGUUCUCCCACUAGCCUUUUACACUUCCCCCAAUCAAUGUGCCUGCUGUUUCCUUCUCUUUGCAAGGAGGCUGCAGGUACAGCCAAGCAGCUUUAUUUCCCUCAUUCUGGAAGAAGGGAGUGAUAGAUACAUGAAUUAUUCUUUAUCUCUUGACCAUUUCAGUAGUUUUUCCAAAAUAGAAGUUUUUAGUUUUCUUUUUGUCUGUUUCAGAUAGUUCUUUUCCCACAAAGAAAAAAGAAUUCUUUCCUGUGACAGAUGUGCCUUCUGGGUGGUUAGAAACAGAUUAACAGCAUAGAAACAGAUUAAUAGCAUGGUUCCUGAACCAUGCACACUUUUGGCAUGGAGAACUACACUGAAUUAAGAAGUGUCUCAUAGACAUAGUGUCUUCCCUAUGAAGACAAUGGAAAAUCAGACUCUAUUGUAAUGCUUCAAUUUCUAUGCAGAGUUUUUAAAGAUUUUGCUGUAAGAUUUUUACCCUUCUGAAUUUUACAACUUUGCAAAAAAGAAAAGACUGUCAAGUGUGCAACAACUGCAACUUACUUAAAAUACAGAUCCUAGACAAGCUUUAAUCACAAAAUUUACACAUCAGGUUUAGGCUAGAAGGCAAGCAUGAAUAAAUCCUGUGGAAGUUGGAGAUACAGCAGAAACUCAGCAUCAAGCAUGGUUUUGACCCUGCAAUGUCAGACCACAAGGACAAUUAAGUUAAUUAAUACAAGCCUUUAUGGGCUCUCAUGCCGGUUCUUCCAGUCAGUCUGGGCGAGCGACCUUCACUUCACCAUUGCUUGAUGUUGAAAUGCUGAAACCAGUAUUUAAGCUUUUAUAUUAAGUACAUUUAUAUACAUACAUGUGAAUAUGUAUCCAUGCACGUGUGCAUGCACACACACAUAUACUUACUUAUGUAAGGAUUUCUUCAAGGAUUUCAAGGAAUGAAAAACUAAUCCAGCUGUCAAGCCAAAUACAUUUCUCAUUGGGAGAACCUGGCUAUCAUGUUUGGCUCAUCUCAUUUUUAUUGUGUUAUUUAAUGCAGGAUUGCAAGGUGUUAAAUACAAGUUAGAGCAAAUGGCAGACAUAGAAAAAAGGUU